CCUGCUCUGUUCUGUGCCAGGGAGAGCUGAUCUGAAAUCCUGCUCCUGCUGUGCCAGGCAAAACUGGCUCUGGCAUCCUGCUCUGUGCUGUGCCAGGGAAAACUGAUCUGAAAUUCUGCUCUGUGCUGGUGCUGCUCCUGCUGCUCGGACUCUGCUCUGGUGCUGUCCUGGCGACCUGCACCACCCUGCUGCCCUGUGCCACUGCCCUGUGCCAGUGCUGCUCCUGCUGUGCAGGGAAAUCCAGCUCUGGCAUCCUGCUGCUGUUCUGUGCCAGUGUUCUGUGCCAGUGCUGCUCCUGCUGUGCCAGGGAAAACUGGCUCUGGCGUUCUGCUCUGUGCUGCUGCUGCUCCUUCUGUGCCAGAGAAAUCUGCCCCUGGCAUCCUGCUCUGUGCUGUGCCAGGCAAAAUUGAUCUGAAACCCUGCUCUGUGCUCUGUGCCAGGGAAAACUGAUCUGAAAUCCUGCUCUGUGCUGUGCCAGGGGGGGGGGGGGGGGGGGGGGGGGGGGGGGGGGGGGGGGGGGGGGGGGGGGGGGGGGGGGGGGGGGGG
rnacentral:lncRNA from 12 species